GCCAGACUCCUACGGGAGGCAGCAGUGAGGAAUAUUGGUCAAUGGGCUUACGCCUGAACCAGCCAAGUCGCGUGAGGGAAGACUGCCCUAUGGGUUGUAAACCUCUUUUGUCGGGGAACAAAGGCGCCCACGGGUGGGCGGAUGAGUGUACCCGAAGAAAAAGCAUCGGCUAACUCCGUGCCAGCAGCCGCGGUAAUACGGAGGAUGCGAGCGUUAUCCGGAUUUAUUGGGUUUAAAGGGUGCGUAGGCGGACAGUCAAGUCAGCGGUAAAAAUGCGGUGCUCAACGCCGUACAGCCGUUGAAACUGGCAGUCUUGAGUGGGCGAGAAGUAUGCGGAAUGCGUGGUGUAGCGGUGAAAUGCAUAGAUAUCACGCAGAACUCCGAUUGCGAAGGCAGCAUACCGGCGCGCAACUGACGCUCAUGCACGAAAGCGUGGGUAUCGAACAGGAUUAGAUACCCGCGUACU
rnacentral:rRNA from 1 species